AACGAACGCUGGCGGCAGGCUUAACACAUGCAAGUCGAACGCCCCGCAAGGGGAGUGGCAGACGGGUGAGUAACACGUGGGAACGUACCCUUCGCUACGGAAUAUUCCCGGGAAACUGGGAGCAAUGCCGUAUACGCCGUAUUGGGAAAGAUUUAUCGGCGAAGGAUCGGCCCGCGUUGGAUUAGCUAGUUGGCGGUGUAAUGGACCACCAAGGCUACGAUCCAUAGCUGGUCUGAGAGGACGACCAGCCACACUGGGACUGAGACACGGCCCAGACUCCUACGGGAGGCAGCAGUGGGGAAUCUUGGACAAUGGGCGCAAGCCUGAUCCAGCCAUGCCGCGUGAGUGAAGAAGGCCUUAGGGUUGUAAAACUCUUUCGCCUGGGAAGAUAAUGACGGUACCAGGUAAAGAAGCCCCGGCUAACUUCGUGCCAGCCGCCGCUGUAACAC
rnacentral:rRNA from 1 species